AUUGAACGCUGGCGGCAUGCCUUACACAUGCAAGUCGAACGGCAGCACGGGAGCAAUCCUGGUGGCGAGUGGCGAACGGGUGAGUAAUAUAUCGGAACGUGCCCGGUCGUGGGGGAUAACGUAGCGAAAGCUACGCUAAUACCGCAUACGAUCUACGGAUGAAAGCGGGGGGAUCGCAAGACCUCGCGCGAUUGGAGCGGCCGAUAUCAGAUUAGGUAGUUGGUGAGGUAAAGGCUCACCAAGCCGACGAUCUGUAGCUGGUCUGAGAGGACGACCAGCCACACUGGGACUGAGACACGGCCCAGACUCCUACGGGAGGCAGCAGUGGGGAAUAUUGGACAAUGGGCGCAAGCCUGAUCCAGCCAUGCCGCGUGAGUGAUGAAGGUCUUAGGAUUGUAAAGCUCUUUCUACCGAUGAAGAUAAUGACGGUAGUCGGAGAAGAAGCCCGGCUAACUCGUGCCAGCAGCCGCGGUAAAG
rnacentral:rRNA from 1 species